rnacentral:rRNA from 1 species
UGCAGAAUCCCGUGAACCAUCGAGUCUUUGAACGCAGUUGCGCCCCAAGCCGUUAGGCCGAGGGCACGCCUGCCUGGGUGUCACGCAUCGUUGCCCCCCCCCAAACCACCCCUCCCCUCUCGAAAGAGAGAGACGAGGGGACUUGGCCGUGGGCGGAUAUUGGCCUCCCGUGUGCCGAACGGCCCGCGGUUGGCCUAAAUACGAGUUGUCGUCGGCGAUGGACGUCGUGGCGUUCGGUGGUCAAAUAAACCUCGAGCUCCCGUCGCGCGUACGUCGUCGGCCUAAUAAGGCUCACCGACCCUGAAGCGUUGUGAACAGCGCACGCAUCGCGACCCCAGGUCAGGCGGGAUUACCCGCUGAGUUUAA